rnacentral:rRNA from 1 species
UACGGAGGGUGCGAGCGUUGUUCGGAAUUACUGGGCGUAAAGCGCGUGUAGGCGGCCUUCUAAGUCUGGUGUGAAAGCCCGGGGCUCAACCCCGGAAGUGCAUUGGAUACUGGGAGGCUGGAGUACCGGAGAGGAGGGUGGAAUUCCUGGUGUAGCGGUGAAAUGCGUAGAUAUCAGGAGGAACACCGGUGGCGAAGGCGGCCCUCUGGACGGAUACUGACGCUGAGACGCGAAAUCGUGGGGAGCAAACAGG